AUUCUCUGCCCACAACGAGCUUACAGUCUAGAGGACUAACUUAUUGAUUGUCAGUCUCCCCCUCUAGGCUGUGAGCUCCUCGUGGUCAGGUAAC
rnacentral:pre_miRNA from 1 species